ACUGAACUGAACUGAAAAGCUCUGUACAGAGCCCUCUUGCCCUGGACAGUUUAAGUGUCGUUUGAACUUGCUGGGUCAUAAAAUCCAAUUGAUAAACAUGUUUCACUAUGGUCAGACUUCACGUCAUUUUCUUUUACUUUAAGCCCCAUAACUCUCAGACUUACAGUUACUUGUUUAAUAGAUCAGUACAGAACACUCAAAUAUGACUUUUGCCUUCGGAAUCCAAAAGUGCGUAGUAAGUAUUAUGACUUCUUCAGUGCUAAGUGAGGCUGUGUAUGACAGUUUUUCUUUUUCUUUUUUGCAUUUUUCUUUUUUUUUUUCAUUUCACAUAUGAUAUUUUAUAUGUUUCAAUGCCAUUCUCCCAUAUCAGACAGUUUUUCUUUGAAGGGAUUUUGCUGGCACUCUAUAGACCAAUUAACCCCUAGAAAUUUGACCAUGAUGCUGGGCCCCAGAAAUGAUACAGAGUUUAUUUCCUUCUGGUACCAAAGCCUCCUAAAGUGCCUGUUACAUCCUGCUCAGCAAAUCAGGUUGGUGUGGUAACAACACAGGGAACUGGUGGGUGGCAGGGAGGUGGGGGAUGGACAAGAAAGUGAACUAGUUCUCUGCAGGCCGAUUAUGGUAGAGAAUAUUAAAACUGAAAUAGCUCUGAGGCAAUGCAGUGAAGAUGCACACGGCCCAUGACGGGGGUAGGCUCUUUGCAUGUCCUCUCCUCCACGCUGCUGAUGCCUUGCCCACACUGGAUAUCCCAGGACUGUUUCCUUUCUUAAGAUUCCUUUAGCACCCUGUACUGAGAAAGCUUAACAUCAAGCUCAUCUUGAAGGAGAAAAUCCUCAGUGAGUCUGCUAUUUGUCCCUGCCUGUACUGAAGGGGACAUUCACAGCUGAGAGGCAAUACAAGGAAAACUGACACAAUAGGCAUUUUGCUGUUUAGCAAGAGAGACAGAAAGGUUUUGUCAGUUGAUGCCAGCUAACCUCUGUCAUGCACCACUCUGCUCCUAGCACAGUGGGCUCAGGCAUGAACUAGCAAUGGUGGCCAGGAUACAGUCUGCAUGAGCUCCCAUUCGCCAGGGCUGUCUCCAUGGAAUGUUUUGCUUGCCAGCAAGAGACCCAUGUUAUACCUCAGGAUGCUCCCAUCCCUCAAGGAGACCAAAGAAUUAAUUGGUAAGAAAUUGAGUAGACCAGAUUCCUUACAUCUUGGAAGUCAGUGAUUUGUCUAGAUCUGAUACAUAUUUCCUACAUGUGUUUAACUUGCCUUCAGAGAACCUUAGCCAGCACCCCUCUGUAAGAGUUUAUUGUUGUUUGAUUCGCUGAUAUGUGAUUUAACAUGCCUCAUACCAGGAACCCCUCUAACAAAGGAGCUGUAGCUGUGAGCACAUGACUUGAGAUCCGAAGUUCCUAUCACCUACUCAACCACCCAGAAACUUCUGGCUUGAUAAAGCAAUGGAAUGGAUUGUAAAGGUGCAACUUGAAUGUUAUCUUAGGGAUGAUACUCUGCAAGGACAGGCCUCCUUCUCCAGGGCACAGCACACAUUCUAACUAGCAAUGAUGAAAAAUGCUCAGUCCUAAUUAAUCUCAGUGUAAGGAGCCAGAGCCAAAUACUGGAAAUAGGAGUGGACUCACAGACCAUCAUUCUCCGUAAUCCACUUGGAGAUUUUAUGUUAACUGAAUCCCCAACGCUUAAGUUUAUAGAGAGCCUGGUUCCCAGGGAAGGAAUGUUUCUAUCAGGGGACACAGAUUCCUAAGAAAUUUUAUUCCACGGUUGCCAUCUAAUCACUUUGGAUUCCUCAUUCCAAGAGACCAGUAGACAAGAAAAGAAAUUGCUAUAUUGGCAAGGGUAAUUGAGUCUAGUUCUCUGCUACAGACUGAAGAGGGUAAGAAUGUAUUUACCACUCAGAUGAUCUGGGUGUAUGUCCUUCGCCAUUUCUUUGCCCAGUUUUGAUGGUGAGUGAAUAUGAGCAGCAGCUACAGCUGAAGGAGGGCUUAGUGAAUAAUGCUUAGAACAAGUGUUCGUCACCCCACACCCAAAGCACCUAAACCAGUAGAUGCGGUAGCCAAGAGUGAAUCGGGAAUUGUCGGUAGAGUGGGAAGACAAUGAAUGUCAACUCUAUCUGCAGGAACUGUUGCAAUUGUGAGGGCUGUAAUAUGCCCACUAAUUUUACCCAGGCAAAUUCACACAGAAGAGAUCAACUAGAGUCCAGGAGGGAUUGUUUCCAGGUAGGGGGACUUAUAUGAAGCAGGGAGCUCCAAGUGUGGGUGCUUGUGGAGGCUGUGGGGAACCAUCCCGAAUCCAGGUUCUGCAUCAUUCCCCCAGCCACUGGGAUUGUUGAUUUCUGACAACUCACAGCUGAGGCCCAUCUCGGCAUGGCCCUCAGCCAAAGAGCUGGGCUUUGCCUAAGUUUAUGGCGCCUUCUCAGAGGCAGCUGCCUUCAGUGACAGGUCAGAAUGGAAGUAAAAGUGCCCAGCUUCCUUGCCUCAAUUCAGGACCUCUCUGAAGGGCCAUCCCAGUUCCAGAACUUGUACAAGAUUGAUAAAGCCCUCUCUUGCAAUUGCAUUUCAGUUCAAUUUCUCCCUCUCAAUCAUGCUUCACUCCCUAACAAUGCUUUUCUGGAGAGCUCUCACUAUUAAAUCUCAUGAAGGCCGAUCUUUUCAUCAAAGUGUUUUCUCUGGGGUACCUGGACAAAAAUAAUGUCCCACAGUCUUGUACAUUUUCGUACGUAUAUACUUUCUCAUUGCUUUUGGUUUGUUUCAGUUUUUAAAAAACCUCAUUCCUAGUUCACUGAAAACACUAGCACCUAGUUCUGCUGCUGCUGCUAAGUCACUUCAGUCGUGUCUGACUCUGUGCGACCCCAUAGACGGCAGCCCACCAGGCUCCCCCGUCCCUGCGAUUCUCCAGGCAAGAACACCGGCGUGGGUUGCCAUUUCCUUCUCCAGCACCUAGUUCUACUUCACUUGUUUUCAGCUGCGUUCAGUCUCCUGUUCAACUCAUCUAUUAAUUACUUAGCGUCAGAUAUUUUCUUUUUUUAUUUAUGAAAUGUUCAUUGGAUUCCCUUUUAUAGAUUUUAAUCCUCUGUUAAAUUCUCCACUCUUUGAUCUACUUUGCCCCUCUUUUUCUCCAUGUUUUUAAACAUUUAACCAGAGGUGUUUGAAAAUCCUUGUUUGCCAACUCCAGUAUUUGGCUCACUUCUCCUUUUCUCAUGAGAGUUGGUCAUAUUUUCUUGUCUUCACACUUCUAGUACUUUCUUAAUUCAUGUUGGUGCUUUAACUCUUGAGGCUCUACAUUAUGUUAUCUUCCUUUAUUGAUAAAGAGAGUGAGGAUCGGAACUCCUGAAUCCAAUCAGACAUUAAUUAAAGUCGGGGCUGGGUUUCUGACCCAGCCCACUUCUGCAACACCCCUGCUUCUGUUUGCUGUGCUCCUUCUCUGCCUGCAGAGUUUUGAUUCUAAGUCGGUAUAUCUCUGUCUCCUCCAGUUUGGAAGACUGCAGAAAAUUCAGCUAUAUCCUUCAGAGACCUUAGCUCAGCUCUUUGGUCUUCCUGUUUAUAUUACUUCAAAAUAGAACCUGUUCCUUGAAGGACCUAGAAACGGCCCAUGGUGUGGGAAAGCAGAAAUGAGAGCUUCAGAUGGAAAAAAAAAAAAAGAAGAAACUGACCCCAUCACCUUUUCUAUUGUGGCAGCCAGCCUGGAAGCAGGCCCACUUUGAAAAUUCAAGACCUUAUACUAUAGACAUUUUUAAAAAAUUUAACCUGAAGGUACCUGUUUCUGAGCCUAAUGGUUUGGAAUUUCUUUGUAUUUUUAUCUUCCGGAUCAGUGGAAAGCUAAGCAAGAGGUGUGUAUUAACCCUCUCUUUAGGAAGUCAAUGUUAAGUCCACCAUGCUCCUCAAUUUGGCUGAAUUUAUGCUCCGGUUCUGAAGGGCUGAAGUUCUGCAAGGCUUCCUGCUAAGGGACUACAGCAGGCACAGUUCCAAGGAGCAAGAUUGGCCUCUGGAAUGUUGUCAUCGCAGCUACAAUGCCUAGUCCAAAGCCUGGAACACAGCAGUGUUUGAUGGAAAAAUUCAUGUUUUUUAGUAUAUUUUCAUUUGAUCAUGUAAAUUUAUUUUAAUCCUUAUAAUAGCUUGUUGAGUGAGGUAUGAAAAACCUGUUUUAACAAAAUGGCAAACUGUGGUUCAAGAAGUUAAAUAUCUGACAAACAAACUCAUGUAUAUUCCUGAAUUUUAUCCUUCUUCCCUUUCUGUGGAGUGAAAGCAAGAUAACCAUCUUUAUUGAAUAAACUAGCAAUGACAUAGUAAUUAGAGAUAAAUUAAAUAGACAAGUUGAGGGACACUUUGGAAGUUUUAAAUGCCAGACUGACAAGUUUGAAAUUACACUGUUAUUAAGAGUCACUGAAAAUUUUUAAGGAGAAUGGUGUGACUUUUAGUUGCAGAGAUAAAUAGUAAAUUGAAAAUUAGAGACUACCAGGGAGACUGGUGCACCAUUUUGGUGCAUGAGGUUGUAGCAGCCUGAAUUAUGUUAGUUAUAAUAGAAAUGGAAACCAAUAGGACUUUUAGGAUAUUUAUUUAAAAAAAAAUUAAAAUGUUAUCAGUAUAUAUUAGUUUGAAUUUACACUAUAUGUUGGUUACCCAAGCAGUUCAUCCAAAUAAUUUAUACAGUCCCAGAUUAUUCAUGAAAUACCUAACAAAUGCCAAAACUGGAUUCAUUACUCAUUAUAAAUCUAUGAGUGAAGCCAUGGAGUAAUGCUGUUUCUCUAAAGCAAACUCAAUACUCCCACAUCUUAUGUGAUUCAAUAUAGUUUAACAGCUGUUUAAUAGUUGACAUUAAAUGUUAAUUUUCUUUCUCUUUAAGGCACCUUUUAGGUUUUGCUAUUCCUCUGCUGGAAAGCUUUCCAUGGUCCUUAUUAUUUUCCAGAAUCCAUAAUUGGUUCACCAUAAUGUUGGCUCAACCAAACUCAUGUCCCUAUAUCUUUAACUCCCCUAUAUAAAAUCCAUAUGACUGAGGGAAAAAAAAUCAUCUUAUUCUAUGCCCAAGUUUUAUAAUCCUGUUUUUGUAGCUUUCCGGGUAGGAUUACCAUUUUCAGAUCCAGCUUUGGAGUGAAUAUGUUCAGGUUUGAAGCUGUGUGACCUGGCACAAAUUCUGACUUCCCUUUACCUUGAUGAUUUCUUUCUUUCUUUUUUUUUUUUUUAUAAUGAUCAAAUAAGUCUGCAGAUAGUAGGCACUCAAAUAUUACCUAUAAUAAGUAUUAUUAUUUUUACUAGCAAAUCUAAUUUGCUCCAAUAUAACUAGUAUUCCUUGAAGUACAGAGUUUUCCAUUGAAGUUUUUUCAAUUGAUUUAACUAAAAUGUUACUGGUGUCUUACCUUUGGGUCUGAGGUAUUAGAAACAAGAUUAUGUGACUAAUUCAUCUAUUUUUUGUGCAGCUAAACAUAUCAGAUCUUUUUUCUGUAAGCAAUCAUUCAGUGAGUCAAAGGGAACUCUAAUAGUAUUCUUCUCUGUCACAUACCUUAAAUAGCUAACACUUGAUGUCUUUAUUUCUGUUCCCUGAAAGCAUAAAAGCACACCCUAGUUGACAUAAAUUUACUCCAGCUGACUUGACAAUUUUAUAUCAGAAAGGAAAUUCAGAGGCUCAGCCUGAUUUUCUUAUUGAUAGCUAAAUACUCUAAAAGUAUUCUAUGAGCAAUACCUCAAGUGAGUAUAGUAGCCAAACAAAUAGAUAAGGAUUUUUAAUAUCAGAGUACUUAAGAAUAUUGAAGAUACUGAUGUAUCUUUGGAAGGAAAUACUAUUAACUGUGAAAAUAACUUAUUUAUCAAUUACCUAUGGGAAUGCAACCCUUUCAAAUAAAAAAGUCU